CAGCAGUAGGAUGAUGCGAAAGGAAGUAGCUCUCCUCUCAGGCUGUGGUCAGAGUGCCCAGGGCUCGGUCUGCGCUGGGGUGAGACCACUGAGCUGAUUGUCACCAAUUGGGUGAAUGGAGAAGGCUACCCUGCAUCGCAGCCUUGAAGGCAGGCUCAACGUUCCAUAUGUGAACAUCCUGAUGGUCAGCCUUCUCCCAGGAAUUAGAUCUCUGAUGACAUAGGACAAUAGGAAGACUCUUCUUCCCCUUUUGCUUGGCAUCCGGCAAUGCAGUCAUGGAGGAAAGUUCACACGCUGUUUGGAAGUCAUUUCUGUUUAGCUCAUCAAUAGUUGCCUUAUAAAAACGAUUCCAUGCCUAAGAAGCAUUCUAAGCCUUUUUAAGCUCCAAAGAUUAGGGUGAAACAGGGAGGGGGUGGGAGGAAGACAGAUAAACAAAGGACCAGAGAGCAUUCUCUGUGCAGAGGAGUAGAUUCUGUCCUUUGGUUAGAUUAAUCCCCAAAUUGGAACUGGCCCUGAACAUUGUUCUGAGAAAGGAGAGCCCAGAUAAGAAAGGCCCCUCCACAAAGCCCCUGCAUCGAGCUGUUUGUGGAAAUGCGGACAGCGUCCUUUCCCUGCAGCCAGAGGACAGAAUGACAGGCCCGCAGAGGACAAACGGAGGGUGAGAUUUUCCUCAGGACAGUUGGACGAGUGGGAGAGGGAAGAGGAGAAGCAGCAGUGGCCUCGUGGUGGCUGCUCGAAGGUUCUGUCAAACCACCAAGUUGUUUUUCUGUCUCAGCCUGGGCACCACCAACCUGCCUGUUUUCACACUAUUGAAAGCACGAGCAUUGAGUUCUGCAAAGACUGAGGGGCAGCCCAGGUUGGCUUUGCCUCCAGUCCAGGCAGAAGGACAGGUGCAGAGGACCCUAACACCCACCCGUGGGAGCCAACCCCCUCUCUCUCGGCAGGCCUGGUUUCCAACCCCAGGACCACAGCUCUCUCGGGAGAGUUCGGCUUUGGUUCUGAAGGACUCCGAGUUGACGCUUGAAGGCUGGAGAUUGUCAUCAGAGGGGCUAAUGGGACAUGAGAUCUGAGGUGGGUCCCAACAGGAUUAAUGCAGCUUGACUGCCUUAAUGCUCCAAGACAGUUGAGAGCUUCCAAGAUGACCGCGCUCAUUGGCAGGUGUUGGUGACUUAAAAUAAGUCAUGCAGGUUCAUUGUCACCCCCGUAAAGACUGAACUGCAACGUCUGCAGUUGUCCCGGUGGUCACCUCCACAUCCUCAAAUACUCUGCUUAUACCACCAUUUCUUGCUUUAUCGACCACGCACUUUGUCUACUGACCUUCUACUUGGAGAGACGAGGGUUUGGCUCACCAAGACACUCUCCCAUCUGUCCUCCUUCCUUCUUCCUGACAGGACUGAUGCACAGCUCCUAGUUCCUCUAUUGGUCAUCUUUGUCUAAAUGAUGCCUGCAAAUGCAUUGUUUAAACACAUGUACCAUCUACAUACCCGCACGUGUAUGAAUCUGCAUACUAUCAUGUCUUUCAUCAUUUCUCUUACCAUGUCUUCAUCCAUGUCAUCUCAAAAUAGUUGAAAACACUUGGUCGGAGACUGGAAUUACCAUACACAGCUUUGCAGCUGUCCCACAGACAAGCAAAAAGGAGAGAGCAAAGGCAUGAGGAGCUGGUGUCCCCAGCCCUGGAAACUGGCCCAGAUAAAAUGAAGGAAUCAACGUCCACCCCACUUUUGCUUACACACACAUCUACUACUGGGUGGGCAGAGGCCAAGAGAAAGCCUGGGCACCGAUCAGAAAGCCCUGGAAGCAGGUCAGCACUGGCCUCCUGUUGCCUGCGUGGACUCCCUUCUUUAAUCUUCCCCCUCCACCAGCCAGCCAGCUCCUAGUUGUCAACUGAGUCGACCCCCCGCCCUGUCAUCCCCUCAGCAGUCACCCACAGCAACAUUCCUACCCUUCUAGCGGCUACUCCCAGCUCUGCUUCUCUGCUUCCUGCCUUCCUCAGCCAGUGAUGGAUGCAAGAAAUAUUCACUGAGCACCUCCCUGUGCUUAGACACUGAGAACAUAAGCAUGUACAAGACAGACACGGUCCCUGAACUCUGAGAGGGGGACUUAAGAGGCCAUUGAAAAGGACAGCCAGUAAAUAAAUUAACUACAUAUUGUGGAAGUACCAUAAAGGAUGUGGAGACAGACAAUAAUAGCCUUUCUCUUCUCUGAAAAGAAAUACCACUAGGCAUUUAAGCUGAGACCAGAGAAUAUGAAGGAACCAGGCUUGCAAAGAGCAGCCUGAAGGGAGGUCCAAGAUGAGGAAGGUGACUGUGCAAAGGCCCUGUGGUAGUGAUGGGGAGCAGAGUGUGUUUGGGGAACUGAGAGGAAGCUGUUCAGCUGGAGCUUGGGAGGCGGAGGGGAGAAUGGCCCAAAGUGAGCCUGCUGAAAGGCAAGGGCCAGACUACGCAGGACCUAAUUAGCCAAGUAGAGUUUGGAUUUUAUUCUAAGCAUAAUAGGCAAGUGUCAAAGGAUUUCAGCAGGAAGCAAAAUGACCCCAUUUUUGGCCUUAAGAUGUCCUUUCUGGAGAUGGACUGGAGGCAUUGAUGGGAUUCCUCUCUCCUAACUAGAGGCAUGGACACCCCAUCUUUCUUGGAGAAAGGGGCCCAAAUCCUCUCCAGAUGUUAUCAUCUGUCGCCAGCAAGUCAUUCUGGGAUCUGGGAGGAUGGAAGGUGCUCAACAGAAGAGCCGUUCAAAUCAUGGUGGCUGCUUGGCCACAUUUAACAUGGCGGCUCUCACAUCACAAACCAACAAAGGACGCACCUGCUUCGAGCAUCAUCAUCCCGGGAAAAACUUUGCUGACCUCUAUUCUAGAGAGAACAAAUGAAAGAAGGCUUCCCCCAGGAAGGUGUUCAUUCCUUCUCUGGGUUGGACAUUGGACUCACCGGGCUCAAGUCGCUUUCAGCUCUGAGGGCCUAGGGGCUCAGCAAGAACCAUUCGAUGAGAAGACUUUACUGAUGCCAAGGCCAGUGGGUUUUGCAAAGUUCUUCUCUAUGCCAGCUGCUGCACUGAGCACCUUAUGUUCACGCUCUCACGUACACCUCUCCGUAACGCCGUGAAGUG
ensembl:lncRNA